GAUGAACGCUAGCUACAGGCUUAACACAUGCAAGUCGAGGGACCGGCGCAUGUGUGAGUAACGCGUAUCUAACCUUCCCAUUACUGUGGGAUAACCUGCCGAAAGGCAGACUAAUAUCGCAUCAUAAUGGAUGGGGAUGCGGCUGAUUAGCUUGUUGGCGGGGUAACGGCCAACCAAGGCGACGAUUAGUAGGGGUUCUGAGAGGAAGGUACCCAACAUUGGAGCUGAGGCACGGGCCAAGAGCUUGCGGGAGGCAGCAGGAAGGAGUAUGGUUCAAUGGACGGAAGUCUGAACCAUCCAAGUAGCGUGGAGGAUGAUGGGCUAUGGGUUGUAAACUGCUUUUGUAUGGGGAUAGGUACCAGAAGAAUAAGGACCGGCUAAGGCCGUGCCAGCCGCCGCGGUAAUAC
rnacentral:rRNA from 1 species